rnacentral:lncRNA from 1 species
CCCGCCAUAUGUCUACACAUAUAAGGCGUCUACAAUAAAAGCGGAAGUAAAAGCAAGUAAUAGAACAAAUAGAAGAAGUGAAAUAAUGAGCAGCUAAUGAUAUCAGAGCGAGUAAGGUUCUAACAUCUACAUCAAGGUAAAGGAGUAAAGCUAGACAGUAAAAGAAAUCAUAAGUAGUACAAUAACAGUCUCCAAAGUACAAAAACGGUGGUCUCUAAUACACUGGUAGAACUCUCAACCUCUCGCAAAAGGAAACAAAAAUCGAGAGGUAGACCACCUAACAACUCGUCCUCGAAGGAAGCUAGCUCGUAGCAACUCCCUUCCCGCGAUCCCUGGCCUCACCCUGAGUGGAAGGCUCUGAAAAACAUCGAGAAAAAGAGGGCGUGAGAACUAUAAUUUAUAGUUCCCAGUGGGCAAUUACUGACCUCAGCUCAAUGCACCACUAGGCCCCAAAAGAAGAGGGUAAGUACAAUAACAAUAGCAAUAAAUAGUGAACACGAAACUGCUGAAGGAAGCAUGAAUGAAAUGCUAUACUACUAUGUCUCCAAUAAGCAUGGUCAAAAUGUUGUACAUCUAUUCUAUCAUAAGGAAAAGUGACCAAUGGCAUUAGUUUACUGUUACACCCUUUAUUCAAACAUGAUGUAUAAGCUCUAUCGUGGUAACCAAGUAUACUACAUGUCUCAACCCUAUGCUACAAGCAUGUAAAUGCAAUCCAACUACUAAGCCUAUCUAGUAGUGAUUGUUCAUUCUCAAACCGUGUCGAUUUCCAAUUCCAAUUAGGGACCUACCCAAGGUAGUCCAGCUUGUGCCGCCUAAGUGCCUGUGGUAGCCCGACAUUCCUACUCAUGGAAUGUGUCUGUCCCACUCGACCCCGUAGGCUCCUCAAUACCGCACGAGCGAACAAUAAUCGCAUAGGCCAACUCCGGAGUGCCGGCUUGUAGGGAGCGACCCUCACAAGCAUGUGCGAAUGAGCACAAAUGGCAAGCAAGCAUAGUCCAAGUCUCAAGUAUCCUAUCCUCAUGUCUCUAACAUGGUAUGGUCGCUAGCAUCCCGAAGAUCUAGUUUGAGCCACAAUGUGAAGUUCCAACAUUUGCUACGCCUAGUGCCCCUUGAUGACACUUAGGCAAUUUGAUGUUCAACAUGUAUUCCAAAUCCCUCAAUGGCCCUAUCCACUAGGUUCACACAUGUCCUGAGCUCAAUGCCGCUUGAUGACAUUAGCUCUCUAAUUCACAUGAUAUCAAGUUCGAUGCCUAUAUAUAUAGCAAUUGUUAUCUUUCAUGUCUCAAUUAAACUUAUGUUUAAAUGCAUGGAUCAUAGCUCAUAUACUCUAUGGAAGCAUGAAACCAAAACUCAUAUAGAAUGCUAAAUGCAACCAACUCUCUCUCUCAAGCAACUCUCUACUACAUAGAGGUCCAAAGUUUCAUUACAUAUGACAUGGGCAUUUUAAGCAUCCUAAAAAUCAUAAUAAAUGUGUUUAGCAUGAACAUGCAUGAAUUAAUAGUAUACGAAACACUUUUCACCAAAUAUGAGGAUUUCUCAUAUGAUAGGCUAGGUCAAACCCACCGACGACAACGAAGCUUUUAGCUUGCUUCGAUGGAGGUAUCCACUAGCUUCCUAGCACCCUAGGAACAUCAAAAAUAGUGUCAUCCAAUCGAUACGAAGAGCAAUAAGCUCGAUCUUUAACCUAGAAGCAAAAGGGCCAAAACUCACCUCAAGAGUAGAAAUCUUCUCCUAAGCUCCAAAAGAGAGCUAGAACCCUUCCAAUCCAAGCCCUAGGAAGGUU